GCCGUCGACGCACGCGAGCACGCACAGGACGCCUGCCCGCGCGCUCAUCACAGCGCGACCUGAGGACGCUAGAGGAGAGAAGACACACCCGAGGAACAAAGACGCAGCUUUGGACUGACUGAGGGAGGGAUCCUGUCUGAAGGGAAUUCAGCCAGUAAGACGGCCGCCUGAAGCAUGCGGUAGGGCACGUCUCAGCAGCAGAACAGGAGGACUGGCCACACAGAUGGAGAACCAGAUCCUGGAACUGGGCAUGCAAGGACUUCUUCAGGACUGUGUGGUCAAGUGGAUGCUAGAACACUGUAGAAAAAGGUCCUGGGUCCUGAUCCUGUUAAUCUCAGAUCUGCUUAAGCUUCAUCAGGGGAAGUUUGAGUCACAAGACCGAGGUCUCAGUUACGCUGGUAGGCCCUGAAUAUGAUGUUUGGACAUUGGACUAUAAACUAUGAACUAUUUCUGAAAGAACUCUUUGCAACUACAAAGCUCACCAUUCUCUGCUAUGAAUCUGCACCUCAAU